CAUUUUUAUGAAUGAGAAGUCAGGGAGCUGUUACUGUUUUCAGGGAAGUCCAAUUGUUCCUCGAGUCUGCACGAGGAAGCUCUCAAAAUAAGCACACAGAGCCAAAAGUUCAUAUUCCCAAGGUGUUUCAUCUUGAGGAUAGAUAAAAUUUUGUUUAUUGGAAAAAGAUAAAUUAUAGUUGAAAAAAGUUCAGAAAAUGCAGUUUAAGAAGCAACUUUAAAAGAGUCUUUGAGUCACUCAAGAGGGAUGCAAAGGGGAGAUCUGAGCAAAAAGUGUAUUUCAGGAUGCUACACUCAUCACACUGAGCUUAGAAAUGUCAAGACCAGAAAGCAUUUGUACAAGCGUUAUUUGCUAAAUGCAGAGUCAAAUGGAACUUAAUUUCAGAACUCUCUCCAACGAAUACAGCUUUCACUUUCUAUGCUUGCAUUUUAAAAGAAAUUGCUUUGGGUAAAUAAUUUGGUGUAGGUAAGCCUAAAAUGCAGGAUUCAAUGCAAACUGACCAGUACAUUUUCACCAGUCAGUAGAAGUCUUUCUUACUAUAGUUAUUUUCCAAAUGCUUGGGUAGCAUCAAAUGGGCAGUAAUUACUGAAUACUCUCCCCCAAAUACAUGCCUCCCUUUAGAAUAUGAAGAAUAACCAGGAAGACAAAAUUACUUUUGAAGCAGGCCUUUACUGAGCACCCUUACUAUACAAGGUCUGGCAAAGAAUUACAAACCCAACAAUUGUACAGCUAGAAGAGAGACCUCUAGUGUGUGUUCGGGGAGUUUAUAUUGUGCUCCGGGCAUAAUUAAUAGAGCAAAAACCACUGCAGUCAUUUUGCGUGCUGUGGAGGGAGAUUUCCCCCCCAACUAUCAUUCAUACUUAAUGCAUCUAGAGAUUUCGUCCCGGGAAACCAAUGGCACUUUUGCCUCGACAGUUACAUUCUCCUUAUACACAAAAGCCCCAUCCCGUGAAGUUUUCUCUGCGAUCUGGAGUUUUAAAGUUCCAGGGUCACCUUUGUCCCCUCAUUAGUAACCACUUAGCCUGCUGCCAUCCUUCCAGUCACCAACAGCUCUUCUCAAUCUGCAUCAGCAGGACUCCUACACAGCCAGCCCCUUCUCCGAAGCCACAUGUCACCAAAAUCUAAACACGAGGAAUAAAGCGGCAUCUUGCCCAUUAUCCUCGAGACAAAUGGACUCACUGCUUUUUAAAAUUCACCAAGCCGGCUGGCUAUUAGCUCCCACAACCUCCCAUACGGGCAGGUAAAUUCCUUGAUGUUGGCUCAGAUUUAAUGAAUCAUUCCAUGGCAUCAGUCUCAGCCUUUAAAAAUCCUUUAUUUUCUUCUUUCCCACAUUAAAAACAUUUGAGAUACACACAGAAAAUGCUUCCCCCGGAACGCACACACAUAACACACGAAACAGGAGGUCUCUUAAGGAGUCUACUGCUGAGAAGGUAAAAGCAUUUUGCUCAUUUUUAAUUUGCUAAAACAAUCCAAGCAUGCUUGGUACCCAGAGGGUAUUCUCAAAUAAACUUGUAUCUCAGGCUGCCAGCUUAGUUGAUUGAAAACAGAAGGCAAACGUUUCUUAAAGAAUGAGUAUGCUAAACUAUUGUGUCUCCCUGAGUGCCACCAAGGGCAAACACCACACACACACACACACACACACACACACACACACACACACACACACACACACACACACCACGGGAAGGGGUGAGCAAAGAUUUGCUUGAAGGCAGUCAGUACUACGGUCUAAACGGUAGUACAAUAUUUGUACAAUAUUUGAAUCAAAUUACUUCUGCCUACUGCGGAGUCCCUCUUAGCCAGGAAGCCAGAGCCAAGAGGGUCUCGGACAGUUCCCGCGUGCGAUUCUCCACGUACAAAGCCGACCGCCCCAUCGUAACUUUGCUAACUUAGUCCGCUCCGACCCAGCCGGCCCCCGAAGCACAGUGACGGUGAAAACGUGUUGACACUGGAAAAUCAUUUCCACGACAGCCUAAGUGUUGGAAAGCACAAAGGCGAUCCCUGUCGGCCAGCGAUCGCUAGGAAGUUGCUGUAUGCGGGACGCCUGUGCCAGGCGGGCGUCCAGGUAAGGAGUCCCCGCACCACAGCUUCGCCCUCCCCUUCUUGGACGUUCAGGGGCUCCACCUCACUUUGGAAGCAAUUCACCACAACGCGUCACCCGCCCCGUUCUUUUUUCCAGGAGUUUUUUGAGACAGGGUCUCUUACUGAAGCUCACUGAUCCAGCUAGGCGGGCUGACCGGCAAGCCCCAAGAAUGUCCCUAUCUCCGCCUCCUCAGCUCUGGGAUCCCACAGGUUCUUCAUGGUGUGACUCCCCUCCCCACCCAAGAUGGACAGUACCUGGAGCUAACCCACUUCUUCAGGAUUCCAGUGUGGACUGAAAACUGGCCACAUGCGAGGACUUCUUUGGGAACUGCUGAGACACUCAGUCUCAUGGACUGAACAAGUACGGGAUCCUUCAUGAUGGCCAUUGUUGGACUGCUCUGACAUCAGCCGGCCUGAGAUCUCCAGCUGAGUUUGAAGUAGUGGUGGCUGCAGGCUAUGAGGCCCAAUCCUUAGCUGAAGCAGAGACGGGAAGUGAAAUCACCAAUAUUACAUGAGAAAGUCAAGCAGAGACAGCGCCAGAGACCAGGAGGCACACUUCACUUCCCGGGGCACCGGGCAGCCCUGGAGACAACGCUGAAGGAACCAGACCUGACUGCAGGUGGGGCAACCGAAAGCAAAGGUAUUUGAGAGAAAGGUCUGAGUCGUCAUUGUGGGCCAGUGAGGGUGAGUCCGAAUUCUGUUAUUGUGUUGGAGGGAAAUCCAGUGGCCGUGGGAGAAAUUAAAACAGCUAGAGUGGGGUUACAAGACGGGGGCUGUACGAAGCUCCUGGUCAAGCAGCAGCAGCAGCAGGUGCAGGAGGGAACUCAGGAUGCCAGCAUCAGAAGGAUGACUGACCUGGCAAGUGGGAAUCCAGGUCCUCAGCAGAAGAACACAGUACUUGAGACUGGGCAUGUAGCCUCAUGGUAGAGCGGUUUCCCAACACGUGCAAGGCCCUAGGUUCAAACCUCAGUACUGAAAAACCAAAACAGUAGCAAAAAAGGAGCCAGGCUCUGGGGGGGAUGCUGUAAGAGCAGGAGGAUCCAAAGUGGAACAAAGGAACGAGUUUACAACCCUGGUGCUGGUGUGCAUGGGGUGAAGGGUGGAGGUUGGGGCCUGGGGUAGACAGUCAUAGCCCUGGGGCUCGUUGAUCAGCCUGCCUAACCAAUCAGUGAGCUCCAGAUUCUUGAGAAACAUUUUUUUUUUUUGGUUUUUCAUGUCUUAGUUACUUUUAUAUUGCUGUGAUAAACCACUGUGACCAAGGCAACUUACAAAACAAAGCAUUUAAUUUGGGGCUUAUGGUUUCAGAGAGGUAGAGUCCAUUAUAGUGGAGCAAAGGAAUAGUUGAGAGCUCACAUCUUGAUUCACAAUCCACAAGGCGAAGAAAGAAAGACACUGGGAAUGGCACAAGUCGUUUGGAACCUCAAAGCCCUCCCCCAGUGACACACCUUCUCCAACAAGGCCAUACCUCCUAAUCCUUCCCAAAUAGUUCUACUAACUGGGGACCAAGUAUUCAAACAUAUGAGCCUAUGGGAGAAGUGUGGCCUUAUGAGAGGAGGUGUGUCACUGGGGGUGGUCUUUGAGGUUUCAGAAGCCCACACCAGGCCCAGUCUCUCUCUCUCUCUCUCUUCCUGCCUCCAGCUUGUGGAUCAGGUGUAAGAUCUCAGCUACUGCUCUAGCACCAUGCCUGCUGCCCUGCUUCCUGUUAUGAUGGUCAUGGACUCUAACACUAUUCCAACUAUGAACAAGCCUCCAGUUAAAUGCUUCCUUUAAAAUUUCUUUUGCUGCACAUGGAGUUCAGGACUCAUUCAAAGUCUUGAGGAGACUUUCCUACAAAGACCCGGAGUUAUCUCCCUUGGCCCUCUGCUGCUCCUAUGGCCUCUUUCUUGACUUUUCGGAAUUCUGUCACUUCCUCAACUCGAUGACGGCGUCUGUGUGGAAUCUUCUUUCCUGCAAAGAGGCCCCCAAACUGCCUUGUCUGUUUUCAGCCCCUGUCCUGUCAGUAAUCACAGCCCCACGCGACCUUCAUUUCAGUGCCUGAAGGCAAUUCAUACUUUGUUUGGGUUGUUUCGUAAGACAGGAAGAUAGACACGUCUCUGUUAGUCUACAGUGAGCAGGAGUCUUGUCCUAUAUGUUAUUUGAUCUUAUAGAUAGCAUUUUAGCGGGAAAAUAGCAAGUCCAAAGGAAACUUAAAAGUGAACUUUGUGUGUGUCUGUGUGCACAAGUGUGUGGAGGUAAGGUGCAGGUAAGGUUUCAGCUCAGUGCUUCCUCAGCCGCCAUCCACCUCUACCUCUUUCUUCACUUGUUUUUUUAGUUACUCACUGGCUGGACUCUGCCAAGAAGGCUAGGACUGGCUGGCCAGUGAGCCCUAGGAAUUUACCAGUCCCUGCCUCCCUACCCUCAUGCUGGGAUCACAAUCUCCAGACACUCUGCCAGGCCUUUCCCCUCCUGUGGAUUCUGGGGAUUGAACUCUGUCAAGUCUUUCUUCUCUCUGCUUCCAAGGAGAGCCUUCAUUGUACGUCAUUUGCCUUCUAGAACUCCAGAACAUUCUGCACUUGGUUAUAUUGACAAGUGGACUGCAAAUAAGGAAGCUGGGUUGGGUUUGUUGGCACACCAACCUCUUCAUGGCGGUGUGCCAUUCGCCUUGACGAGCAACCCAGAGCGCAGUGUGGGCGGACACCGCUGAGGACUUUCAGAGAUGGCCGGGUUCUUCGGUUUGAGCAGACACUUGGCUAGACACUGUUCACUCCGUAGAGGAAGGAGGGCUAGCCGUUUUCACUGUGCCUUGCUCAGGACUCUCGGAGGUGCUAUCUGUUGAAACGCUUGAGUGACAAGAAGCACCGGUGGUAUCGAAGAAGUUUAGGAAAUGAACUUCUCCAAGGCACACAUCAAAGAGCCCCUAACGGCGAGGGGAAGUGCAUGUGUCCCCUUGAGCAGGACAAGUCCAAGCAGCCAGUUACAAACAUCCUGUGAAAACCGUGAGGAAACCCAUGAAUUUAACCCUGUGUGCUGCAUAUUUUGAAAUGAUGUAGUUCUCAUAUUCAGUACCUA